CUACGCACUCCUACGGGAGGCAGCAGUGAGGAAUAUUGGUCAAUGGUCGCAAGACUGAACCAGCCAUGCCGCGUGCAGGAAGACGGUCCUAUGGAUUGUAAACUGCUUUAUACAGGAAGAAACCCUCCCACGUGUGGGAGCUUGACGGUACUGUAGGGAUAAGGAUCGGCUAACUCCGUGCCAGCAGCCGCGGUAAUACGGAGGAUCCAAGCGUUAUCCGGAAUCAUUGGGUUUAAAGGGUCCGUAGGCGGCCUUAUAAGUCAGUGGUGAAAGCCCAUCGCUCAACGAUGGAACUGCCAUUGAUACUGUAAGGCUUGAAUUAUUGUGAAGUAACUAGAAUAUGUAGUGUAGCGGUGAAAUGCUUAGAUAUUACAUGGAAUACCAAUUGCGAAGGCAGGUUACUAACAAUGGAUUGACGCUGAUGGACGAAAGCGUGGGGAGCAAACAGGAUUAGAUACCCUGGUAG
rnacentral:rRNA from 1 species